CAGGGCUUGAAGCCGUGUCCCCUGCAUUGACAGGCGGAUUCUUAACCACUGUGCCACCAGGGAAGCCCAGCAAUUUGGUUUUCUCUCUCACAGUUUUGAGGGUUGGCUGGGCUCUGCCGGGAUCUCAUGCAGUUGCAGCCUCUGCAUGCGUCUGCCUGGAUUUCCUCCCAGCGAGGCUAUCCCAGACUCCUCACGUGGCAGCCGACUUCCCCAAAAACGAGGUUCCAAGAAGCCUGGGCAGAAGCUGCCAGGCUUCUUAAGACUCAGAAGUUCCCAGAACCAUCACUUCUACAGCAUGCUACUGGUCAGGCCUCUCACUGUUGUGGCUUCUCCCAUUGCGGAGCACAGGCUCCCGACGCG